CUGUUGGUAUGGAUUGCUCAACUUCUCCCUUUACAAGUGGUUCCUUGUUUAUGAAGUUACAAUGUAUCUUGGUCUUUUCUUGGACUGCAUUCGACUCCUUUGAGACACUAGGAGGCAGUGGUAAGCUCCAUGUGCCAGCUAACAGCCAGUUCUCUAGUUUGCUGUGUGGAGAAACUGCUAUGCUUGGACAAUGUGGUAUUGAAUGUCCCUCCAAAGCCCACCUGCUGAAGGCUAGGUUUUCAGUCUGUAGCACUAGUAGGAAGUACAGGAACCUUCAGGUCAUUGGAAGCUGGCUUUUGAAGGACACACCCUCUCCCAUGUUUCCUUUUGCUUUCCAUAUACCAUGAAAUACACAAGUCUCUGCCAUGUGCUACCACCAUGUAAAUGACAUUCCCACAGGUCCAGAAUAAGGAGGGCAUUCAAGUGACCUCUAAACCCAUGAGCCCAAACACAUCCUUUCUCCGUUAACCUGAUCACCUCUGGUGUUUUGUCCUAAUAACAGGAAGCUGACUUGUGUAGUAGGUGAGACGUACUAAAUACAGCACGUUGUGGCUCCUUUGUCAAUCAAGUAGCAACCACACCUUCCAUUUCUUUAUCUUACUGAUCCAGACUCAGGUAUAAUUUCUCAAUGCCAUGUCCCAAACAAUAAACAGAUCUUUGGGUAUAUCUUUUCUUUUCAACCUAGCUAACAAUCCAUUCUGUUCCUCAGGCAUGUCCAGUCUACUACCAAUUCUCUCUGCUGUGGACACUUCCAGAUGCCCCUCACCCGUAUAAAGUGAGGACAUGACCUCACAAGGUCUUCUUUCUGUUGUUUCAUGUAUGGACACAAUGUUUCCAAACUCUCUAUAAAGCUAUUGAACUGGCAUCUUCAGAACCUGAUUCCACACCUGUUCAGAAGAAAAUUGACAGACUGACAGAACUUCCACCAGCACCGAGUCACUGAAGGAGCCGGGAGUUGGAGACCAUAACCCACUGUCAACCAUACUGCCUCACCAGAGGCAGAGUGCUGGGCAAGCAAGCUGUGGGAUGUUUUCAAAGAAUUUCUAAAUUUGUGUAUUUUCUCCUUAAAAGAAACAACCUACUUAGCUCUCCACACACCAGAGGAGGAGCUCAAAUAUGUUGGCAAAUAAUGUAUUCUCAAUUAAAGUUUAUCAGCUAAACAUUCUGAAAGGGACAUGAGAAAGGCAUGGAAACCAACCCAGAUUCAGGCUCUUUGCUUUUUAAUUUUUUUAAAAUUAACCAUAGAGUUUAUUACAGGUGGGGGGGAGGAGAGUAGGAGGGAGAGAGCUGAGAAGGGACAAAGAGGGUAAGAGGAAAAGCAGAGAGCAAAGAGGAAAAGGAAGGUAAGAGAGCAAGAGAGUAAGAGUGCCUUUUGAAUUUUUAUGGCUUAAAUAAACCUCAUAACCAAUCAGAA